GACAGAGGCGGGGAGCGUUAUCCGGGGUCAUUGGGCGUCAAGGGUACGUCGGCGGCUAGUCAAGUCUGAGGUUAAAGACCACAGCUUAACUGUGGGAAGGCCUUGGAAACUGACUGGCUAGAGUGGGGCAGGGGUUUCGGGAAUUGCCGGUGUAGCGGUGAAAUGCGUAGAUAUCGGGAAGAACACCUGAGGCGAAAGCGCGCAACUGGGCCCUAACUGACGCUUAGGUACGUAAGCUAGGGGAGCGAAGGGG
rnacentral:rRNA from 1 species